rnacentral:rRNA from 1 species
ACGAACGCUGGCGGCGUGCUUCACCCAUGCCAGUCGCACGGAAAGGCCCUGCUUUUGUGGGGUGCUCGAGUGGCGAACGGGUGAGUAACACGUGAGUAACCUGCCCUUGACUUUGGGAUAACUUCAGGAAACUGGGGCUAAUACCGGAUAGGAGCUCCUGCUGCAUGGUGGGGGUUGGAAAGUUUCGGCGGUUGGGGAUGGACUCGCGGCUUAUCAGCCUGUUGGUGGGGUAGUGGCUUACCAAGGCUUUGACGGGUAGCCGGCCUGAGAGGGUGACCGGCCACAUUGGGACUGAGAUACGGCCCAGACUCCUACGGGAGGCAGCAGUGGGGAAUAUUGCACAAUGGGCGGAAGCCUGAUGCAGCAACGCCGCGUGCGGGAUGACGGCCUUCGGGUUGUAAACCGCUUUCGCCUGUGACGAAGCGUGAGUGACGGUAAUGGGUAAAGAAGCACCGGCUAACUACGUG